CGUCGGGUUAAAAUGCAAUAACCGUUUUUGCAAAAGUUUAGAGACUGCUGUUCGGAAGAUCGGGAGAUUCCUGUAUCGCCGAGCAGAACGGCAGCCCUGCGGAAGAGAUGGAAUGAACCUGCUGCAGUCGCUGUCAGAUGUGACAGACGUCAGAAUCGUGAGUAUGUGUGAAAAUAAGAAGAACAUCUAGAACACGAUUAUCGAAGAAACACGUUCUAAACUAAAAUCCUAAAAUUAAUUUCAAUUUUCUAAUUAUUCUACCUAAAAAUUCGUAGUUUGUUAUACCUAAAGUGCAGUAUUCACAGUGAGAGAACUGCCAAGAUUAUCCAUGCUAAAUUUGAUAACCUACGUCGACAUACUACUGAAUUUGAUAACCUAUUGUUGACCUUAAAGGUUUAAUACUAACGGUGACUCAAGCACCUACCGAUAACCGCAGAAGAUUACUCCCGGUAGAACCUCCUACUAGCUUGCACGCGAGGGUGAAGAAAAACCUAUUGUAAGUUGCAGUAAAAAUGUAUGAACUUAUGAUCUACUCAAAAACUAAUAAUAAAACUAUUUCAGCUUUAAGCUGUCUAAACCGGACCGCUAAAAGGAGGUUGCAGUUCUAAAAAUCCGAACAUUCUUAAAGAAUAGCAAUCGGAAUAACCUCGAAAUGGCUGAGGGGUUUGCCCAAUCGGUGAGUAAUGAUCACAGUAGUAACCACAAUUGCAUGCUUUGCGAGGACCAUGAUAGUGCGGAUGAUAUGGUCCAAUGUGACGUCUGCGACUUCUGGGCACACUACAGUUGCGCUGGUGUCUCAGAAGCUGUGAAGUCGGUUCCGUGGACGUGCGCGAAGUGCAAAAAUAUACUGCAAGUACCGAAAGAAGCCAAAAAGCCUGCCUCGAAGAAGACUUCAUCCAGAAAGAGUAGCACGAAAAGCGAUGCUGGAUCCGACAAGGAAAGUGUCAAAAGUGUGACCCUGGAGGAAUCACUUCAACAGGUUCAGUUGGAUAAAAGGGCAAAGGAGAGAGCCCUUGAAGAGGAAAGGAUCAUCCAUGAGAAGCGAUUGUAGGCCGAAAGGGAGAUAAUGGAGAAGAAACGUUUGCAACAGAAGGAGAUGCUCGAAAAGCAACUAGCACAGGAAAGAGAAAUCCUACAGAACCGACUCAAGGACGAACGGGAUUUCCAUCAACGGCGUCAGCAGCUCCACGAUGAAUUCCAGAAGCUCAAGUCGGAUCUAUCACAGCACUAUCGAGAGCAAUAAGACUCCGACGAAGAAGAAGAUGAAGACGAUGAGGCUGGCAUGCAAAAGCCGCGUGUUUGUGAUGAUUUCGGAAGAAAGGAUCCCCGUGGAGCCUUCCCGAAAUUCCAGGGACAGCCGUCCGCCCGGAACCAGCAGAUCGAAGCUGAAUUACGGAAUGUAAAUCCAGAACUUUCGAAACCUACGAAGCUAAACGAGCCGGGGUGCGUUCGGGAUCCAUGGGGCAGCAAUACACGUUUUCAGCAGAAUCCGCUAGCUGCUUCCGGCGAGAGAGAAGUAAGAAUUGAGGACUUACUGCAUCGUAUGGAUCUGACGGAAGAGGAAGAAGGUGCAAUCAGAAAGGUGCAUGU